CUUCUACAGUAGAGCGGGACAUUUAAUUUACUCUCAGCGGAAUUGACCGGAGAAGGCAUCAGUUCAUGCACUGCACUGGCCUGCACCAUGAUUAGUAUAAGGCACAUUUCACGAAGCAGAACGCAGUCUUCAGAGAUAUCCACGUGAACGCUGUGAUACGUCUGACCUUCAGUCCGAAGAAGAAACCCAGACCAGUCUUAAAAGAAAGCACAAACCAAAUCCCCUGUACACAUAUACGGACUCAGAGGAUGAGUUUUUUUGUGGGGAAAGCCUACAAAAAAACGGUUUCCCCAGGCCCCUCGAGUGAAAAUACCAGCCCUCAUCACUCCGCAGUCUGCCCCCCAGCCCACUGAUAGCAACCAUCAUAAUGCCCCACCCAGCUUCCGGCACCUUUCGCCACGCCGG